rnacentral:rRNA from 1 species
AUUGCCCCAGUAACGGCGAGUGAAGCGGCAAGAAGCUCAAAUUUGAAAUCUGGCCCCGUCGGGGUCCGAGUUGUAAUUUGCAGAGGAUGCUUCGGGUGCGGCCUCGUCUAAGUGCCCUGGAACGGGCCGCCGGAGAGGGUGAGAGUCCCGUCUGGGACGGGUGGCCGCGUCCGUGUGAAGCUCCUUCGACGAGUCGAGUUGUUUGGGAAUGCAGCUCUAAAUGGGUGGUAAAUUUCAUCUAAAGCUAAAUAUUGGCCGGAGACCGAUAGCGCACAAGUAGAGUGAUCGAAAGAUGAAAAGCACUUUGAAAAGAGAGUUAAAUAGCACGUGAAAUUGUUGAAAGGGAAGCGCUUGCGACCAGACUCGCCCGCGGGGGUUCAGCCGGCACUCGUGCCGGUGCACUCCCCCGCGGGCGGGCCAGCGUCGGUUUGGGCGGUCGGUCAAAGGCCCCCGGAAUGUGUCGCCCCUCGGGGCGUCUUAUAGCCGGGGGUGCAAUGCGGCCAGCCCGGACCGAGGACCGCGCUUCGGCAUGGACGCUGGCGUAAUGGUCGUAAGCGACC